GAUGAACGCUGGCGGCGUGCCUAAUACAUGCAAGUCGAGCGAACAGAUGAGGAGCUUGCUCCUCUGACGUUAGCGGCGGACGGGUGAGUAACACGUGGAUAACCUACCUAUAAGACUGGGAUAACUUCGGGAAACCGGAGCUAAUACCGGAUAAUAUAUUCAACCGCAUGGUUCAAUAGUGAAAGACGGUUUUGCUGUUACUUAUAGAUGGAUCCGCGCCGCAUUAGCUAGUUGGUAAGGUAACGGCUUACCAAGGCAACGAUGCGUAGCCGACCUGAGAGGGUGAUCGUGCACACUGGAACUGAGACACGGUCGACACUCCUGCGGGAGGCAGCAGUAGGGAAUCUUCCGCAAUGGGCGAAAGCUUGACGGAGCAACGCCGCGUGAGUGAUGAAGGUCUUCGGAUCGUAAAACUCUGUUAUUAGGGAAGAACAAAUGUGUAAGUAACUAUGCACGUCUUGACGGUACCUAAUCAGAAAGCCACGGCUAACUACGUG
rnacentral:rRNA from 1 species